CUUUUUACUUAAAUUUUCGAGUAAAUGUUGAAAUAUUUAGAAGAAAUUAUUUUAGUUAAUUUUAUUUUAAAAUUAAGUCGCAAAAUGCAGAUAGCCAUCUCGUUUGAUGAUGUAACAUUCAUUCAACAUCAACAUUACAUAACACUGAUUGAUGAUUGAUUAGAUGCAAGAGGUACGUCUAACUGAAUAUAUAAUUUACCCUAGACAGUUUCAAUCGUGUAACAAACUGAACGCCAUAUUUAUUUAUGACUAGGAAAUUAUACGUCUAGAAAUCAUUUAAACACAGGUAUGUUUACGCAGGCGUUCAAAAACAGCGUUGCAAAUGAAACAUUUUUAUUUUUUAUUUUUAUAUUCUUAUUUUAGCUUUUUUAA